UACGUAGGGUGCAAGCGUUAAUCGGAAUUACUGGGCGUAAAGCGUGCGCAGGCGGCUUUGCAAGACAGAUGUGAAAUCCCCGGGCUUAACCUGGGAACUGCAUUUGUGACUGCAUGGCUGGAGUGCGGCAGAGGGGGAUGGAAUUCCGCGUGUAGCAGUGAAAUGCGUAGAUAUCUGGAGGAACACCGGUGGCGAAGGCGACAUCCUGGACCGGUAUUGACGCUGAGGCGCGAAAGCCAGGGGAGCAAAGCGGG
rnacentral:rRNA from 1 species